rnacentral:tRNA from 1 species
GGCUUGAUGGUCUAGAGGUUAUGAUUCCUGCUUUGGGUGUAAGAGGUCCUGGGUUCAACUCCCAAUCGAACCC